rnacentral:rRNA from 1 species
UAGGGAAUCUUCGGCAAUGGACGAAAGUCUGACCGAGCAACGCCGCGUGAGUGAAGAAGGUUUUCGGAUCGUAAAACUCUGUUGUUAGAGAAGAACAAGGACGUUAGUAACUGAACGUCCCCUGACGGUAUCUAACCAGAAAGCCACGGCUAACUACGUGCCAGCAGCCGCGGUAAUACGUAGGUGGCAAGCGUUGUCCGGAUUUAUUGGGCGUAAAGCGAGCGCAGGCGGUUUCUUAAGUCUGAUGUGAAAGCCCCCGGCUCAACCGGGGAGGGUCAUUGGAAACUGGGAGACUUGAGUGCAGAAGAGGAGAGUGGAAUUCCGUGUGGAGCGGUGAAAUGCGUAGAUAUAUGGAGGAACACCAGUGGCGAAGGCGGCUCUCUGGUCUGUGACUGACGCUGAGGCUCGAAAGCGUGGGGAGCAAACAGG